ACUCCCUGGCAAUGGGCAAGGAGACACCUGAUUGGUGAUGUUGCACUUAUAUCAAUCAGGGGCAAAGCAGACUACAGUUCUUAGUUCAUCUUGAACUAAGCUUGAUCCCUGGGUGGCCAGAGCUGUUCCAUGCCUAAGGCACAUAA
rnacentral:snoRNA from 1 species